CCUACGGGUGGCUGCAGUGGGGAAUAUUGCACAAUGGGCGAAAGCCUGAUGCAGCAACGCCGCGUGAAGGAAGAAGGGUUUCGGCUCGUAAACUUCUAUCAACAGGGACGAAAGAAAUGACGGUCCCUGAAUAAGAAGCCCCGGCUAACUACGUGCCAGCAGCCGCGGUAAUACGUAGGUGGCAAGCGUUGUCCGGAUUUACUGGGUGUAAAGGGCGUGUAGCCGGGUUGACAAGUCAGAUGUGAAAUCCUGCGGCUUAACCGCAGAACUGCAUUUGAAACUGUUGAUCUUGAGUACUGGAGAGGCAGAUGGAAUUCCUAGUGUAGCGGUGAAAUGCGUAGAUAUUAGGAGGAACACCAGUGGCGAAGGCGGUCUGCUGGACAGCAACUGACGGUGAGGCGCGAAAGCGUGGGGAGCAAACAGGAUUAGAUACCCGUGUAGUC
rnacentral:rRNA from 1 species